rfam:Burkholderia glathei strain DSM 50014 contig1, whole genome shotgun sequence.
GUCAAACACCCCGGCCUGAGGGCCGGAGCUUGCGGGAUCACUCGCGGGCUCGAGUUUGACCAGACCAAGCGGUAGCCAGUCCGCUACGUUGUGCAGAAGUACAAGACCCACCGCUGGAUGCUUCCUCAGUCCGGCGCUCUGGAAGUCGCAGCAGCAGACACGCCCCGGGUAGGCACGAAACGGGCUGCGACGAGGCGUCAAGCCGAAGCUGCUGCACAACAUGGUCGAGGGGAGCGGAGC